rnacentral:rRNA from 2 species
UGGGGAAUAUUGCACAAUGGGCGAAAGCCUGAUGCAGCGACGCCGCGUGAGGGAUGACGGCCUUCUGGUUGUAAACCUCUUUCAGCAGGGACGAAGCGCAAGUGACGGUACCUGCAGAAGAAGCACCGGCUAACUACGUGCCAGCAGCCGCGGUAAUACGUAGGGUGCAAGCGUUGUCCGGAAUUACUGGGCGUAAAGAGUUCGUAGGCGGUUUGUCGCGUCGUUUGUGAAAACCAGCAGCUCAACUGCUGGCUUGCAGGCGAUACGGGCAGACUUGAGUACUGCAGGGGAGACUGGAAUUCCUGGUGUAGCGGUGAAAUGCGCAGAUAUCAGGAGGAACACCGGUGGCGAAGGCGGGUCUCUGGGCAGUAACUGACGCUGAGGAACGAAAGCGUGGGUAGCGAACAGG